UACGAGAUAUGGGACGCAAACGCCGUCUG
rnacentral:sRNA from 1 species